AGUGAACGCUGGCGGCAUGCCUAAUACAUGCAAGUCGAACGGCAGCAUAGUAAGCUUGCUCCUCUACCGUUAGCGACUGGCGGGUGGGUGACACGUGCAUCAGCUUCCUCUAAUUCUUGGAUGACAUCGGAGGAACAGUGCUGAUACCAGCUCAUAUGAUCUACCGCAUAAAUCAGUAGUUCUACAGACCUUUGCUGUCACUUUUAGCUGAAUCCGCGCCGCAUUAGCUAGUUGGUAAGGUAACGGCUUACCAAGGCAACGAUGCGUAGCCGAUCUGAGAGGGUGAUCGGCCACACUGGAACUGAGACACGGUCCAGACUCCUACGGGAGGCAGCAGUAGGGAAUAUUGCGCAAUGGGCGAAAGCCUGACGGAGCCACGCCGCGUGAGUGAUGAAGGUCUUCGGAUCGUAAAACUCUGUUAUUAGGGAAGAACAAAAGUGUAAGUAAACACGGCCGUUCUGACGGUACCCAAACAGAAAGCAACGGCUAACUACGUG
rnacentral:rRNA from 1 species